GCGCAAGUUUUGCGCGGCGAAUUGUAGUCUAUAGACGCGGCAUCAGUGCGGCCGUUCGGGGUAAGUUCCUUGGAAGAGGACAGCAAUGAGGGUGAUACUCCCGUUUGUACCCGAGUGUGUUGCACGUACGAUGCGUGUUCUUUGAGUCGCGUUGUUUGGGAAUGCAGCGCAAAGUAGGUGGUAAAUUCCAUCUAAAGCUAAAUAUUGGUGCGAGACCGAUAGCGAACAAGUACCGUGAGGGAAAGAUGAAAAGAACUUUGAAAAGAGAGUUAAAGAGUACCUGAAACUGCUGAAAGGGAACCGGGUCGUUGCCAGUGUCUAUAAUCCGCUGCAUAUUUCAUUGCUGUGCGAGUCCGUGUCGCGCGUGUGGUAGUAGUUUGUUCUGCACCGCGCGUGUCUGUGGGUUUGUUCGGCGGUGCCCUGUGCGGUGGUGGGACGUCAGAGUCAGUUCGUGUUGCUGCGGGAAAUGGCUGUCGAGGAGGUAGGUCAGGAGCUUGCUUUUGGCUGUUAUAUCUUGGCGUGCUAGUUGUCGUGGUUGGGACUGAGGUGCCUUACAACGUGCUUUUGGAGUGCGUGUGCGUCUCUGUGUGCGUCCGGAUUGGAUAGCUUGCUAUGCAGUUUGUCACGUGUGCGGAUGGAUGUGCGCGUUUACUUUUGGCCGUUCGGGACUUUGACGAAAUGGCGCGAUCCGACCCGUCUUGAAACACGGACCAAGGAGUCUAACAUGUGUGCAAGUGUUAGGGUGUGGAAACCCAAGCGCGAAAUGAAAGUAAAGGACAGCGUUGGUUGUCUGAGGUAGGAAACCCUUGCUCGUCAGGGGUGGCACUAUCGACCGAUCAUGAACCCUCGUGGUGAAAGAUUUGAGUAUGAGCACAUAUGUUGGUACCCGAAAGAUGGUGAACUAUGCCUGAGUAGGGUGAAGCCAGGGGAAACUCUGGUGGAAGCUCGUAGCGAUUCUGACGUGCAAAUCGAUCGUCAAACUUGGGUAUAGGGGCGAAAGACUAAUCGAACCAUCUAGUAGCUGGUUCCCUCCGAAAUUUCCCUCAGGAUAGCAGCAACUUAUUUACGAUAGUUUUAUGAGGUAAAGCGAAUGAUUAGAGGA
rnacentral:rRNA from 1 species